GUGUCAAACAAUGAAUCGCUAAAUACUCGAAAGAUUUUCAAAUAUAUUAUUUUUCAUCGACAUGUAUUGGAAUAAGCCAUUGACGAAUCUUGGGGCAUACGUAUGCAUCAAGUUCAUUAAUAUUGUGAAAAAAUAUACAGAUUUCAUGAAACUUAGUUGACUGUAGCUGAAGAUAACAAGUGCCCUUGGAAAGGUUUAAAGAAUAUUUAUGCCGAAAUCGAAAAGCGUCGAUGGCAAGAAAUUGUACUCGGAAUUGAGCCUACAAAGAAAUGGUUAUAUGAAGAUAUAAUGAGUUUCAUGACAUUCCCGUUUGAACAGCCGUAUCAAAAAUUGCUAGAGAAUUUUGAAGGAAGUAAUUUCAAAAAGUUCAACACUGAUGAUGCACAGACUAUUGGUACUGGGAAAGAACACAAUGAGCAACUGGGAUCAAGUGGCUGUAAAGAAAUGAGCAAAGAAGCUAUUGGAAGUAAAGAGCAAAUUGAUGAAGAAACGAUAGAAUACCUAAAGUUUGACUCAAAUGUUGAACAAAGUAAGCCAGUCGACAAGUUGCACACAGAUAAUAGGUGUUACAAUGAUACAUACAGGAUGGAUCACAUGGACAGACUCCUCAACUUUUACCCAAUCUCACCCACAGUACAGCCUUAAAACGUUGAUAUAGAUAUCGGGCUAUCCGUCCAAAACCGUAUCAACCAAAUAUUUUGAGUACCACAAAUACUAUUAUAAAUUUAAAUCCUCUUCUCACCAACAAUUUAAGUCCAGCUCCAACUGUUCCUAGUGUAUCCAAUCUGAAUCUGAUAAAUCGAAUAACAGUAACAAGGCCACCUAUGUACAAGGGUAAAAAUUGUGAUACUAUGAUUGUUUCUAGCCCAAAUAUUAAAAUAGAAAGUUAUGCUAAGAAGGUGGGUAUGGAAUCAAUAAGACCUCUGAAACAAAUAAAAAAGUUAAGGACUGUAAAAAAAGAUUCAUCUGCUCCAUUGCGCAAAAUUGAAUCUUCCUUAGAUAGGAAAUUAUCUUCUAAAAAGGCUACUUGCACCAACAGCAUAAAGCUAUUUUUUGAAAGCAUGGCUAGAACAGCGAUGAAGCUGCCCAUGCGAGCUCAGGCAAAAAUUAAAAUUGAAAUUUGUAAGAUCGUUACUAAGGCAGAAAUUCAUCAUUCUAUGUUACAUCAAGGCUCAAAAUUGGAGAUCGAAAAGUAAAAAGGGUUGAAAUCCCAUAAUCCUAUUAAAGAACAAAGUACAAUCAACCUAAGUUUGGCGAAGUUAUUAUUAGAUUGUGCUGUAACAAAAAGUCAGUGUUAAGAACAAAUACAAAGUCAUCACAAAUUGUGACGUUUGUUGGCAUGACACACCACAAAUUUGUACUUGUCAUGCUUAUGAGAAUGUCACUGAAGAUAUAAAUGUUAUUAAAGAAGACGAAGCAUCAAACAGAUCAAAAUAUGAUGUGUUAAAUUUUAGAAUAUUUUAUUUCAUAAGAAAGAAAUAUUAUAAUAACACAAAUGCGGAAUAGAUAUUCGAUGAUAUGGUGACAUAUCGAUAUGCCACAUACAUACUUGUGCAUAUUUCAUACUCGAUGUAAAUAAAUAGUUAAUAUUCAACCCUAGAAGCAAACUCAUUUUGAGCUCUCCAAAAAAAAUGUAUGCUCGCUGGGGAGUACCCUAGAGCACUCGUCUGGGGUUGCUUGUCUUGAAAGAUAGAUUACUAAGGGACAGUAUCCACACAUUUAGUGAAAAAGUGUCAAAUUACGAAUAUUUUAUUUCCAUCUUUAGCUUGAAGAUAGACGAUUAUAACUAUGUCAAGUGUGCAAAAUAAUUGGCACUAAAACUGUCAAAUAGUCUAUUAUUUGGGUCGGCAAAAGAAGUGAAAGCAAUUCUCGAAUGAUUCUAAGAAUGUCCGUGGUAUUGAAAUUCUAAGUUAGUGAUAAAACAACAAAAUCCACAUAGAAUAAAAAAUAGUUUUAAUGCAGAUUAUAAGUAGACUGCAAAUCAAACGAAGAUAUUCUUACCAAUGGAAUGCUAAGCUGGUAAUCAACUUUAUUCAAUCUUUUUGCAAUGAAGCAUUUUUUAAAUCUAGCAGAUCGGAUUCCUUUGUUGAUCAAUAAUGGAAACUAAAUAAAAACUGGUAUGUGUUGUUUACCUACAAUCACCUCGA